rnacentral:rRNA from 1 species
AAUGACGGGGCCGCACAAGCGGUGGAGCAUAGUGGUUUAAAGUUCGAAGGACAACGACGAAGAACCUUACCAGGUCUUGACCAUCCCGAUGCUAUUCUAGAGAUAGAAAGUUACUUCGGUACAUCGGUGACAGGUGGUGCAUGGUUGUCGUCAGCUCGUGUCGUGAGAUGUUGGGUUAAGUCCCGCAACGAGCGCAACCCCUAUUGUUAGUUGCCAUCAUUCAGUUGGGCACUCUAGCGAGACUGCCGGUAAUAAACCGGAGGAAGGUGGGGAUGACGUCAAAUCAUCAUGCCCCUUAUGACCUGGGCUACACACGUGCUACAAUGGUUGGUACAACGAGUUGCGAGUCGGUGACGGCGAGCUAAUCUCUUAAAGCCAAUCUCAGUUCGGAUUGUAGGCUGCAACUCGCCUACAUGAAGUUGGAAUCGCUAGUAAUCGCGGAUCAGCACGCCGCGGUGAAUACGUUCCCGGGCCUU